AUGAACGCUAGCGACAGGCCUAACACAUGCAAGUCGAGGGGCAGCACAAGGAGCAAUCUGAGGUGGCGACCGGCGCACGGGUGAGUAACACGUAUGCAACCUGGCUGGUAAGAGGGGGAAUAACCCGGAGAAAUCCGGACUAAUACCGCAUAAUACUUAGAAUCCGCAUGGAUUUUUAAGUUAAACAUUUUAUGGCUUACAGAUGGGCAUGCGUAUGAUUAGCUGGUUGGAGAGGUAACGGCUCCCCAAGGCAACGAUCAUUAGGGGUUCUGAGAGGAAGGUCCCCCACACUGGUACUGAGACACGGACCAGACUCCUACGGGAGGCAGCAGUGAGGAAUAUUGGACAAUGGAUGGAAAUCUGAUCCAGCCAUGCCGCGUGCAGGAAGAAUGUCCCUAUGGAUUGUAAACUGCUUUUGCAGGGGAAUAAAGUGCAUCACGUGUGAUGUUUUGUAUGUACUCUGCGAAUAAGGAUCGGCUAACUCCGUGCCAGCCGCCGC
rnacentral:rRNA from 1 species